rnacentral:lncRNA from 1 species
GAGAAAAAGGAAACGUUUCAGCAGAGUCAGCCACCCCCAGCAUCUUUCUUCAAAACCCAACAAAGAAAUCCCCUCUGCUGGGUGAGUUCAGCUUCCUGGCUUUCCACAAUCUUACUGACCAAUGAACGAGGUCGUGAUGAAUUGCAGACAGACAUUCCCAGCCAAUUCUAAUCCUACAAGGCCCUCUUGGCUCCCCUUAUCCUCCAGGGACCUGGAAGUAAAGGAUGAGAAGAGUUAGAAUAAUUUAAAAGGCAGAAUUAUCCACGGACUUGUGCACACAUAUCUUUGAGACUUACAGUCAUCGCUACGUUUGCACAGAUUGGCUGCAGCACUACUUCAUGGUGGACUAAUGUUUUAGGUUGAUUUAUUGGAACAGAUUGGUUCUUCAGUACCAAU